rnacentral:rRNA from 1 species
GAUGAACGCUGGCGGCGUGCCUAAUACAUGCAAGUCGAGCGAACAGACGAGGAGCUUGCUCCUCUGACGUUAGCGGCGGACGGGUGAGUAACACGUGGAUAACCUACCUAUAAGACUGGGAUAACUUCGGGAAACCGGAGCUAAUACCGGAUAAUAUAUUGAACCGCAUGGUUCAAUAGUGAAAGACGGUUUUGCUGUCACUUAUAGAUGGAUCCGCGCCGCAUUAGCUAGUUGGUAAGGUAACGGCUUACCAAGGCAACGAUGCGUAGCCGACCUGAGAGGGUGAUCGGCCACACGGGAACUGAGACACGGUCCAGACUCCUACGGGAGGCAGCAGUAGGGAAUCUUCCGCAAUGGGCGAAAGCCUGACGGAGCAACGCCGCGUGAGUGAUGAAGGUCUUCGGAUCGUAAAACUCUGUUAUUAGGGAAGAACAAAUGUGUAAGUAACUAUGCACGUCUGGACGGUACCUAAUCAGAAAGCCACGGCUAACUACGU